CCCUUUGGGUGUGACUGCGUACCUUUUGUAUAAUGGGUCAGCGACUUAUAUUCUGUAGCAAGGUUAACCGAAUAGGGGAGCCGGAGGGAAACCGAGUCUUAAUUGGGCGUUAAGUUGCAGGGUAUAGACCCGAAACCCGGUGAUCUAGCCAUGGGCAGGUUGAAGGUUGGGUAACACUAACUGGAGGACCGAACCGACUAAUGUUGAAAAAUUAGCGGAUGACCUGUGGCUGGGGGUGAAAGGCCAAUCAAACCGGGAGAUAGCUGGUUCUCCCCGAAAGCUAUUUAGGUAGCGCCUCGUGAAUUCAUCUCCGGGGGUAGAGCACUGUUUCGGCUAGGGGGCCAUCCCGGCUUACCAACCCGAUGCAAACUGCGAAUACCGGAGAAUGUUAUCACGGGAGACACACGGCGGGUGCUAACGUCCGUCGUGAAGAGGGAAACAACCCAGACCGCCAGCUAAGGUCCCAAAGUCAUGGUUAAGUGGGAAACGAUGUGGGAAGGCCCAGACAGCCAGGAUGUUGGCUUAGAAGCAGCCAUCAUUUAAAGAAAGCGUAAUAGCUCACUGGUCGAGUCGGCCUGCGCGGAAGAUGUAACGGGGCUAAACCAUGCACCGAAGCUGCGGCAGCGACACUGUGUGUUGUUGGGUAGGGGAGCGUUCUGUAAGCCUGUGAAGGUGUGUCGUGAGGCAUGCUGGAGGUAUCAGAAGUGCGAAUGCUGACAUAAGUAACGAUAAAGCGGGUGAAAAGCCCGCUCGCCGGAAGACCAAGGGUUCCUGUCCAACGUUAAUCGGGGCAGGGUGAGUCGACCCCUAAGGCGAGGCCGAAAGGCGUAGUCGAUGGGAAACGGGUUAAUAUUCCCGUACUUGGUGUUACUGCGAAGGGGGGACGGAGAAGGCUAUGUUGGCCGGGCGACGGUUGUCCCGGUUUAAGCGUGUAGGUGUGUGUUCCAGGUAAAUCCGGUUCACUUUAACACUGAGGCGUGACGACGAGGCACUACGGUGCUGAAGCAACAAAUGCCCUGCUUCCAGGAAAAGCCUCUAAGCAUCAGGUAACAUCAAAUCGUACCCCAAACCGACACAGGUGGUCAGGUAGAGAAUACCAAGGCGCUUGAGAGAACUCGGGUGAAGGAACUAGGCAAAAUGGUGCCGUAACUUCGGGAGAAGGCACGCUGACACGUAGGUGAAGUGAUUUACUCAUGGAGCUGAAGUCAGUCGAAGAUACCAGCUGGCUGCAACUGUUUAUUAAAAACACAGCACUGUGCAAACACGAAAGUGGACGUAUACGGUGUGACGCCUGCCCGGUGCCGGAAGGUUAAUUGAUGGGGUCAGCGCAAGCGAAGCUCCUGAUCGAAGCCCCGGUAAACGGCGGCCGUAACUAUAACGGUCCUAAGGUAGCGAAAUUCCUUGUCGGGUAAGUUCCGACCUGCACGAAUGGCGUAAUGAUGGCCAGGCUGUCUCCACCCGAGACUCAGUGAAAUUGAACUCGCUGUGAAGAUGCAGUGUACCCGCGGCAAGACGGAAAGACCCCGUGAACCUUUACUAUAGCUUGACACUGAACAUUGAGCCUUGAUGUGUAGGAUAGGUGGGAGGCUUUGAAGUGUGGACGCCAGUCUGCAUGGAGCCGACCUUGAAAUACCACCCUUUAAUGUUUGAUGUUCUAACGUGGACCCGUUACCCGGGUUGCGGACAGUGUCUGGUGGGUAGUUUGACUGGGGCGGUCUCCUCCUAAAGAGUAACGGAGGAGCACGAAGGUUGGCUAAUCCUGGUCGGACAUCAGGAGGUUAGUGCAAUGGCAUAAGCCAGCUUGACUGCGAGCGUGACGGCGCGAGCAGGUGCGAAAGCAGGUCAUAGUGAUCCGGUGGUUCUGAAUGGAAGGGCCAUCGCUCAACGGAUAAAAGGUACUCCGGGGAUAACAGGCUGAUACCGCCCAAGAGUUCAUAUCGACGGCGGUGUUUGGCACCUCGAUGUCGGCUCAUCACAUCCUGGGGCUGAAGUAGGUCCCAAGGGUAUGGCUGUUCGCCAUUUAAAGUGGUACGCGAGCUGGGUUUAGAACGUCGUGAGACAGUUCGGUCCCUAUCUGCCGUGGGCGCUGGAGAACUGAGGGGGGCUGCUCCUAGUACGAGAGGACCGGAGUGGACGCAUCACUGGUGUUCGGGUUGUCAUGCCAAUGGCACUGCCCGGUAGCUAAAUGCGGAAGAGAUA
rnacentral:rRNA from 1 species